rnacentral:misc_RNA from 1 species
UAAUAAGCGUUUUAUGGCACUUUUUAAGUCCAUAUCCACCUUGUGUGCAAUGUCAGUCGAUCUUCUUCAUGGAGAUCGACCAAACAUCAACCUUUAUCUUUUAACUCUUUGUCUGAAAAAUAUUAUGAAUAAACAAUUCAAAAUA